UAUGCUGUGCAGCGAAUGGGACUAGAGAACUCUCCCCUCGGAAAACAGUGGAUCUCCGGCAGUCUUCCUGUCCCCGGAACCAAAUACUGAGGUGUACCCAAGCAGCUCCAGGUGACCACCUGCAUCAUUAUAAAGAUACCACUGACUGUGGCGCCGGAAACAGAACAUUCCAUUCUCCGCGUACAGGUAAUCUUGUGUUCCUCCUUGCAUUAGCAAAUCCUCUAACACCUUUUUGAAUUCAACA
rnacentral:lncRNA from 12 species